GCAGAGGUCCCGGGGCGCCCAGGUGUGCGUCCCUUCCGGCGCGCCCAAAGGCUGGGGGUCGGAAACUACGGGUAGGGGCCUGAUCCAGGGUCUCGGCAGCCUGUCGCCACGGGAGCGGCCGGGCGUGCUCCACUAGGCGAAGCGAGAUUACUUGAGCCGAAAAGCGGUUGUUAGACUUCGGGAGAGCAGGUACGGCCGUCUCGUCCUCCUCCCCCUGGCCAGCCUGGCCUCGCCCGAGGCGACACCGCAGCCUCCAGGCAGCUCGCUGAUGGGGUAAGGAGAGAAAGGGAGGCACUGAUAAAGCACGCUUUUCACUUUUUUUGCCUUUUUGUCCCUUUGGAGAACUCGAGUCCGGCCCAUAUGCCGCUAGUUUUAGUUUCCCUUACCAAUACACUGAUGGCUUGGGUGAGCAAACUGAUAAACUCAAAAGCAGAUGUCUUACCAUUUACCUCUGAGCUGGAUCUGAAAUUGCAGGUAAGGGAUGGGGUGGGAGUGGGGACUUCUCAAACAGCUCCUGCCAAAGAUCUGGUGGGCUUGACCGAAUGGGUCGAACGGAUUGAGACCAGAAUGGUUUAUAACCAAGAGAAGAGGGGCAUUCGUGUAAAAGGAAGUAAUAACAGGACACCUAACACAGACAGACAGCACGCUGCCAAGCAGGUACUCUGCUAAGUGCUACACCUAUAUUAACGCAUUGAAUCCUUCUGCUGUCCAGGUGCGGAAACUGAGGCAUACAUCACUUAACUUGCUGGAGGGAGUGAUAGCUGGGGUCCCUCCUCCAAAAGUUCUGAAUGGCUGAACUAAAAAGCAGAAACAGUUAAAGAGUAAAGAGCAAGGUGUUCUCAUUUUUGCAGGUCAGGAGCCAGCUGGAAGGAGGGCUUGGAGGGCCAGGUCGAACACCUUCCUAACUGCCCAGUUUCCACAGUUUGGAUCUUAAACUAUAUUUGUUCCCACCCCCACUCCCAAAUUCUACCAAGCUGGUCCCCCAAUGUUAGAGGAAGUAAACUUAUUCUUGUAGUACAAGGUGCCUGCGGCAAAACUGAACAGACCACAACAAGCUCCACAUCUGGCUCACUGCCAACAUUUUAUCCUUAAAUGCUUGCAAAUAUCAUUGUAUUCUUUAAUUUCCUUGUUUGUUCUGGUGUAAAAGCAUGUUUGUCUUCAUUGUCUAGUAAGAAUGGUGUUUGCAGAAGCUGCUCAGGUUUAUCUUGGGAUUACCUGCCCCUUCGAGCAGUGGUGUGGUGGGGACAACUCAGCCCACUUCCAGAGGCAGUGAUUAUAAUUAAUGGGAAGCUAAAGAGUUUAAACUGGGAGACAUCGUGUGCUAAGUGGUCACGUGCCAAGGGGUGAUGUAAAAAGAUUUGUCCAGCAGAAAUGUGUAGGAUGGAUUAAAUGAAAUAAGUUGAGUCCUGGACACUGAGGAAACACUGUAUUAAUAAGGAUGCUAAUAACUUGAGUAUGCCAAGUAUUCUUUAAGUUUAGGCCCUGUGGUGUUGUAUCUUCUGGGCACUUCUCUACCCCAAGCUAGGUGUUUUACAGCUGCUGAAGUAGCUGCCGUUGUCUCACACCCAACAGACCUGGGUUACCAGCAAAGUGCUGUGAUCCAACCUCUCCGUGCUCUGCCGUUUCCAGCCUCCUCCUGUCACACCUGGUGCUUCCCCCAGCUCUCAGCCUGCCCAGACCUGCGUACAACUCUGAGCCUCAGCGAUCCAGGCUCCAUUAUCUUAAAACUGACUUGAAGAUGCCAGUGGCAGGGGACACAGCAGUACUUCUCCAGCCACUACCACAGUUUCCUUUGUGGUGACCUCAGGGACACUGCACAUCUAAUCACUGCUGAGCCUCAGCUGGAAGGGGCUGUGGUUGUAUCCAUCGGAGUCUCCCAAGUUUGAACAUGGACAACUCACAGAAAACAACUAAUAAUCGAAGUCAAAGAGAAACAGUGAUUUGUGUGACAGUUUUUCAUUGAAGCAGAGCCAACAUCUGCAGAAGCAUCUCUCCAGGACAGGAGCACAUCUGGCUCAGCAGCAGGAAGAGGAGCUGAGAUGCAUGGAUGUCACCUGUGAUGUCACCCAAGUCACCUGGUGAUCCUCACAGAGCCGGUUCCUGGUUCCUUCCAACUGAGUCUCUGGGAAGAGCUAACAUCAGAAUGGAAUAAAACACAGUGGAGAAGGAGGAAGAUAUCUCAGGGACCUAAAAUCUCUUUCUCCUAAUUCUUAUGGGAAAAUACCUAUUUUGCCAAAAUAUAAGAUUUUCUUCGAUAAUCAUUUAUUUUAUACAAUCAGAAGACAGUUAAGGAAAAGGACAUUUCCAUCCCCUUACCUCAUCAAGAUGACCAAGCCAAUCACCAAGCUGAGAAUAAGGACGCCUGAAAUGGUGCCCACAAUAGUGAGGAUCAGCUGAAAUUCUGAAAAGGAAAAGAAGAGUAAGAAUGGCCUUCAACAAGCUGGUCCCAGCUGUCUACCGCACAGGUCUGUGUGUUCCCAGUGACUCCCAGUUGAGAGGUGGAUCAGGCUGCAGUUCUGACCCCUCCAGAGGCAGCUCACAGCCUUUGCAGCCUCUGCCUCUCCUACCUGUGUCUUCAGAACUCAGUCAGCAGAGGAAGCCCGGCCAGGUACAAGACCACAAAGACCAAGGAGGCUGAUGGCAGAGGGCUCUUCCUGGGAAUGGUGGGAAGCGGGUCCAACUGAGGUUGACACCUCUCUCUUAAUUACCUCUGCUGCCUCAGCCCUCCAUACUCCUCUUACUGAGGGACUCGGUUGGAGUUAAGUCUGUCCCUAACAGAGAAGCCAGGUAGCUUUCGGUUUUAUCCUGCGGGAAGAGACUUGAGGCUGGUCCACAAGCAUGUUUCUCCUCCAACUCUCACAGGCACUACCAACACUGCAAACACAGCUAUGAGACAGCCUUCAAUGUAACACAGGCACCAGAUUCCAAACACCGAGUGUGAAAAAAUGCGAAAUGACUCAUUAAUAUUCUUAUAUUGAUUACAUGUCCGAAUAAUAUUUUGGAUAUAUUGGAUCUAUCAAUCUAUAUCUAUAUCUAUCUCUCUCUAUAUAUA